UAAUGCAGCAGACCCUAUUUCCUCCAGUUGUGUGGGACACCAGAAAGGAAGCGUUUUCCCAUUGUUUUUUCUAUCUCCGAGAGACUGUAUUAAUCUACAUCUUAUGACUAAUCAGGAAGGUUAAAAAAAAAUCAGGUAUUUUCUUUCAUAAUUUUCUUCACAGCAGAGGAUAAUGUUGAUACAGAAUUGCGAUGUUGUUAAUGUCAAAAAACCCUUGUUUUUGACCUCCAUUCGGUGAUGACCUCAGAAAGAAGGAAGCUGAACUUGUGGUUGCACUUGUCCGCUCCUUGUCGUCUCCAUCCCCAUAUAUAGAAACGUAUAUUGCUUUAAACAAGCCAUCUAAAGUGGGUGACUGCAUGGCAAUAAAGAGUGGAAAAAAUAGUCUAAGAACUAGGAGAACUUAAGUGGUACAACUGUGCGUUUUUUUCAAGUUUCAAAAAUACUGUGCUGUCUAAAAGAAUAAAAUAUGUUCCAGAGAAAUCUAUAAAAAUGGCAGAUUGACACACAAAUCCUGAAAGGUGACUUGAGAGCUCUUUAUUUUCUAGGAUGGGAGUCAUUCAGUAGUUGCAGAAGUGGCGUAUAAUUAACAAAAUUGCAGGAAGUAUUUAGCUGGGGAGACUUGCAAUCUGCAAAUGCUUUUACASGUUCAGGAAUUACAGCUCUGAUAGGAAUUUUCUUAAGCAUUUAAGAGAAGCUACAURUGUAGCAGUCACUGAUGCAGUGGAACAACAGUGGUAUUACUUGGCAGUCUGUAGCUGUUUGUUUUGUAUGCGUGCAAAAGAUCAAUAUUAGAAUAAAUUUCCUCCUGUGGGGAAUUUUUCCUAAAUUCUGAAUUAUGUCUGUUUAACUCCAAUGAAUAGAAAGUACUUAAUGUCAGGUGAAGUUUUUUUUAAAGGAUGUGUUAUUCUAAGCUAAGCCUAAAUCAUCCAUUCUGUUUAGGAAUGCAUCACACUUUUGUCAAAUAAACAUAUGGAGUUUGGCUGUGCAUGCUAUUUGUUGCAUAUUCCCCUCUGAUUUCUAAUAAGACUUGUGGCGGGUUGUUUUUCCCUUGGAAACAACCUGUAGGAGUCAUGAGUCUAGUAUACACACUCUGCAGGCCUUCUCAAUAUUCGUUUGGACGAUAAGUGCAUUUGGGAAUGGUCUGCAUAAGAAAUGCAAUCUAAAUUUGUUAUAUCUGACUUCAGUGGGGCAGUGAUUGCAAUUUAAGGGAUCKGGCCACUUCAGGACAAAUCUCCAAUAUAGACAAAGCCUCAAUUUCAU
rnacentral:lncRNA from 1 species